AAACCCAGUUCAUCUGGGGUGUGACUCAGGAAACCACAGCUCUGUGUCUCCGGGAAAGCCCAGCCUCCCUUUCUCUGAAGGGAGAGCUGUGGUUUGGGGACAGUCAGCUGAGCUGCUGGAGUAUGGCACUCCACGUCUGAGAUUCUUCAGUUGUGAGCAUCAGUGUCUGCUGUGCUGUGAAGCAUGUGGAGGGAGGAAUGGCGAUUCCUCCCUUUCCUAAGCAGAUACUGACCGCAUCGUAACUGAAAUGGGAAACUAGCUGAAAACAUCACUUAAAACUAAUCACUAGCUGAACCUCGGCCACUUACAAAAUGGCAACUUUGUCAACUGCAGGUGGCUUACUCUUCAAACUUUGUUCCACCAUGGUGAAUGGCAGGCUGUAACUGGCCACAGUGAGGGCAGACAGGACACAGAGGAAUCAGGCUCUCGCUUAUGAAGAUGUUCAUGCAGAUGGAUUACUUCAACAUCUGUCUCUGAUGGAAAGAGUUCCAGAAGCAGGGAAAGGACAUGGCACCUGGACUUCUAUGACUCCUUUGGAGAGACCCUACUGCAAACCUGUAAAUGCUGAUGUUAGCCAGCUGCUGACUUCCUGCAUCCCUGCAUUUGCAUACGGAUGGGACGGGGCAACUAUAUAACCUAUAUAGAUGAAGUCUACAAAAUAACGUGUAUAGAUGAAGUCUACACAUACACACGGGGGAGGCAGUACAACAAGAUGUCAAGGUGGAACCCUAGUUUGCUGUGUUGUUACUUUAUCUGGAAAACAAGAAAUA